AAAUAAAUGAAUAAAUAUUUAUUUAUUUAACAAUCCAUAUAAAGUCCUUACAAGAGCCCAAACACAAGCCCAAAUACCUUAGACCCGUUACAGCAAACCCAAAAUAGCUCAGACUCGUUACAACAAACCCAAAAUAGCUCAGACCCGUUAUACACACACCCAAACAGACCGGUUACACCCUACCCGUAGCCCAAACCUAAACCAGACUCAAAUAGUAGAGGCCCGAAUUUUAAUUACCAGCUAGGGUUUUUAACCCUAGCUCUUUCUCCUCGCGCCGCAAAUAGAAGAUUCCAGAAGCCAUCUCAACGGACGCGUCUGCUCAUCUUUCACGUCGUUCCAGUGACCCCCCAUCAGCGCUAUGACUCUGCCUCCGAAAUCAGCGCGCGAAUCUAUACCAGCCCUCGUCACCACCAGAUUUCUCGCAAGUACCUGCAAAAGAAAAGGAAACACAGUAGAUGCGGAAAAAAGAAAAAGGAAACUAAAAUAAAAGGAUUUCAGCAGAUCACAAUCAAAGAUACGAUGGAUACAGUGGACAAGCGAUUUCUUUCCCAGUUUAUGUAACAAAGUAGUGGCUAUAAAAGCCCAAAUAAAAUGAUGUAAAGAGUUACGUUCAAAAAAAGAAUACACACAGAGAGAAUUAAUAAAAAUUUAGAGAUUCAGCAAAAGAAUUUGUUCUCGCACACAUAUACAAAGCAAGCAUCUCAAUCGAUUGAAAACACAAAGGUCAAAUUUUUUAAAUAUAUGUACAUAUAUAUACUGCAAAUAAUGAAAAGAGACAGCAAUACCUUUAAUCGGCGUUGGAAGGCGAGGUUUUUAAACCUCCGACCACCGCAUGCGGUGGAGAAGACGAGGGCGCAUGAGCGCGUACAGACCCCUAGAUGGAGGUUCGGUGACCCUCCGAAUACCCCUCCCCAACUCUCUU
rnacentral:lncRNA from 1 species